GGGGGACCGCAGCCCAACCGACACCGCGUGGGGCCAGAGAACCGCUCCGCAGAGCCCGGGCGGCUCACAGAACUUUGAGGGACAAAUGGGCGUGGCAGUUUUAAGCCACUAAGUUUUGGCGUGGCGUGUGACACCGCAGCAGGGAACCGAAACCUAAAGGUUGCUAACAGGUUCCUCACUGCGCCUGGUGCCUGAGAGACGCUCCGUACUUGUUGAAUCAAUGAGAAUUUUUGAGCAAAUAUAUAGGGUAGAAAGAAAUCACGGCCAGGUCUACAUUACUGAGGAGGGGCAAAUGUUGUUUCCAGAAGCUCAUUUCCUACCCUCCCUCCCAUACCUGCAGACUCCAUUCUAGGGGCGACAAGAAUCUUCCGAGGGCCUUGCCAGGACCUGCUGUGGCCCUGGUCCGAUGGAGCAGUGGUUCUCAAAUGUCAUCUCUGAACCAGCUACAUUGGAGUACCUGUGGAUUUCUUUUAAACUACAGAUUGAUGAGCAUCCUUGAACUGAGGUG